GUCAAUCUAAUUAAAAAUCAGAUUGAUUUAAAGUUCGAUGCAUGUUAUUUGUAUACCACAUCACAUGAUCCUGAUGGCUAGGAUGCUUGUCCUCUCCAUCUUUAGUAAAUUCUGUUAUCAUAUUUUCUCCACAAUUCAUGACAUUUGAUUAAGACUCUUUCGUGUGUCUAUCUUAAACUAUUUAUGUGCGUGUAAUCAAACAUCAAUAUGUUAAGAAAUAAAGGCAACAGUAGUAUACCGCUGUUCGAAAUUCAUAAAUCGAUUGAAAAAAAGAGAAAAAAAUCCGCGUUACAAACUAUAACUGAGGGAAACACAUCAAAUAUAAGAGGAGAACAACGACACAAAAGAAAUACAACACUAAAAUGUAAAACACACGUAAACGAAGUAAAAUAUAACAAUGGCCAUCUUCCUGACUUGAACGUCUUGCAUAACGAAUACAGACGCCAUGAAACCCAAGCAUGUUUUCACGAUUGUCGAACUGAUUCAAAUGUUUAAGUCAGAUAAGAAAAAAAUCAGACGGAGCGCCUUUGCCUUUGCCUUUUCUUUUAUGGUGUAAUUAAAACUACGAACUGUAACAAAACUGGCUUCACAACUACUUUAGAGCCUGGAACCCACGUAGCUUAAGUUCGAAUGCAUACCUCCCAAGCAUGAAGCUGUGUCAGUAGAACCAAAACAACCAUAUCACAAGAGCAUGGAAUCUCGAGUUAUUUCCGUAGCACGUAUCUGAUUGAGUAAAAGCCCACACUGACUUUUCAACUUAGUUUAGCUAAGAUAAGACAGACCUUAUUUAUGCAGAUAUAUUUUCAUUAAAGCUAGAACUGAAAUAAAAAGACAACGGGAUAAAAAGGCAUAGAUUGUGAACCCCUUUGUUGAUUCAAUUAUGAGCAUAUGAAAUUUUAUAGAAAAUCUGCAGACUUUCCCAGCGUAGUUUCGUGUUUGAAUAUAGGCAAUUAAUCCAUUUAUCGAUAAUUGAACUAAACGAGUCUUUUGUAAUAUAGAUAUAAAUUAAAAAUAAGUACAAACAUGAAGUUUUGAAUUUAGGGAACGCUUAAUCGUUAAUUGAAGUGACUCAGCACGAAGAUUUGCAAAGUUGCAUGCCUCGUAGAAUCCACAUAUGUCAUGUCAGUUUUGCUUACAAAACGUCAAAUAAAAAAUAAAAAACACUGCACCGUACGACUUUUCUGACGACUAGCCUUAAAUUAAAGUAAAAUCAUUUUUCAACAGGUAUACCGAUUUUUGGUCGUAUAUUAUAAAGUGAAAUUAAACUCUGUUUUUUAAUUAUAUCCUUUUUGCUAUUCCGUAAACGCAACGCACAAUCAAAUUGGAACUGUGAAGACUAAGUUAUUACUUAGGUAUAUAUACACAGUCGUAUAUCUACAUUUUGUGUAACUGUUUUGAUUUUAUUGCACUUGAAAUUUUGUUAAAGACACCAUUCCAAAAGGGGUAAAAAUUAACACGUGUUUGCUGACUUAAAAAUCGAUAUAUUAUCUUAUGGUAUACAUACCAAAUGUGUUGAUCUUACAAAAUUGAUUUGUAAUGAACAAACAAUUGAUUUAAGAAAUUCUUUGAUUGACUUCUAUAUAAAUUGUAUAUGCAGUGUUCUGUGCAAGUAUGCACCGAUUUUAAGAAAAUUCAUUCAACAAUACUAGUACUUAAAAGGAGAGACGUUUGCUUGCCAUUUUCUGUAACCCGCAAUAACUUUAUUUAUAUAACUUACAAUUUAGUCUAUAUGUAAAGU
rnacentral:lncRNA from 1 species